GCUUACACAUGCAAGUCGAGUGCGCGCUUGUAGCAAUACAAGUGGCGCACGGCGCACGGGUGCGUAACACGUGGGUAACCUGCCCUUUGGUGGGGAAUAACCUCGCGAAAGCGAGGCUAAUUCCGCAUAAGAUCCGCAAGGAUGAAAGCCGCAAGGCGCCGAAGGAGGGGCCCGCGCACGAUUAGUUAGUUGGUAGGGUAACGGCCUACCAAGACUAUGAUCGUUAGCUGGUCUGAGAGGAUGGCCAGCCACACUGGAACUGAGACACGGUCCAGACUCCUACGGGAGGCAGCAGUGGGGAAUCUUGCGCAAUGGGCGAAAGCCUGACGCAGCGACGCCGCGUGGGGGAUGAAGCUUCUCGGAGUGUAAACCCCUUUCGACUGGGACGAAUACCUCCCAAGAGGGGUGACGGUACCAGUUAGAAGAAGCCCCGGCUAACUACGUGCCAGCAGCCGCGG
rnacentral:rRNA from 1 species